CAAAAAAAACCUUAGCCUCCAUUUCUGGUUCUGAAGCUGGAAGGGACUGGGAGUCAAAAAAGACAGUCAUUAGGUGGGGAAGAGAUUGUUUCCCCAGGGCUCAGAAGGAACUGGCCCGCCAACAUUUCAGCAUUAGCCCUCUAGCACCCAUUCUGGACUUGACCUCUACAAUGGUAAGAUAAUAAAUUUGGGGUGCUUAAAGUCCCUUACUCACCCAGUGCAUCGUAAGUUGUUACAACAGCAAUAGGAAACUAAUACAACUCCCACUGAACAAAAGAGAUUAAUAAAAGAAAAAACUGUAAACUUUUUCUAGGGAAGGAAUGUGAUGAUAAUAAAUCAACAUGACAUAUACAAACUAGCAACAGUCACUUUAGGGACUGUGAAAUCCUCAUUUGUUAAAAUGAAAGUAGAAUAACUCAGCCACUUAUAUACUUUACGAAGCACUUAUUUUCAUCUUCCUGGUCUCAGAAGACAGAUCGGUUUGGGCAUAAUAAAUAUUACAGAAUAGCAUUACCAACAUUUUUUUUCAUUGUCUGGGAGGGUUUUUUUGUUGUUUUUUUUCCCUAAACAUGAUUACUACAAAUAAGCCAUCCUGACUGUAGAAUCUAGUGCCUUCAGGAAUUUAGAAGAUAAUUAAAUUUAAAAGGAACAUUUAUGAUCAUUUAGCUUACUCCCUUCAUUUGAGAGAUAAAUUAUUGAACUCUAGAGAUAAAGAGACUUGACCAAAGUGACUCGGUUUUUAUUAUCCAAGUGGAAAGUGAAAUGCCACUCCCUCCUGAUCCUCCAGACGAGGGUCACUGGCAGAAGGUGAGAAGGACGAAAGGGAGGAUGAGAAGAGAGGGGAACCUGAAGAAGAGGGAGCAGCCACACAAAGGAGCUUGGAUUUACUCAGAAUGCAACAGGAAUCCAGGGAUAUGUUGUAUAUUUUUAAUGCAUAAAUUUAACAUAAAUUUAAUAACAUGAAUAUACAAAUUUAAUCUAGUAGAGAUACGAAAAUGAAAGUAGAGACCAGUCACAAGGUUAUUGCAAUAUUAGAGUGAGAGAUGAUGGCACAUGGAAGAGGGUGGUAGUCAAGGUGGCAAUGAGAAAUAGAUCAAUUCAGGAUCUACUCUGGGGUUACGAACGACAGGACUCAUUGUUAGGCUAGGGAUGGGUAAGGAAAAUAGUGAAAUCAGAUACUAUUCCAAGAGUGUGACUUAAUGUCGCCACAUCCUGAAGUGGGAAAAAUAAGGGGGAAAAUAAGAAUUCACUGUAUCUUUUAAGUUCAAAACACCAAUUAAACAUUAAUAGGUAAUUUCUUGAUUCGGUCCUUACAUGUCUACUUUUGCGUAGAGCUUUCUCCCAGGAAUAACAACACACACUUACUCUUCUUAUGCAGCUUUAAUUGAAGGAGGAACUAAGCAUGAGUGGUGUUGCAUAAGAGGAGUUCAAAGAUGUCUGCAAGGGAAGGCAGCAAAGGAUUCACCAUGAGACAGGUACUAACAAAGUGCUAUAGUAGUCAUAAGGAGACUGUUUCUCACUGGAAACGAAAAGAAUAAUUGAGGAAGUAUUAUUGAAAAAGGGUCUUUUUGGAGUGACAGGUGGUAUUCCAGAGAAAACUGUUCUCAAAGGUGAGGUGGUGUGGUAGUUCACAGCAUGCCCAAAGAAAUAGAGCACUCUUAUGUUGAUAGAUUUGUUCAUUCAUGAAGUAUUUAUUGAAAACGUAGUAUAUGUCAAGUAUUAUGUUACCUGAUAAGGAUUCAAAGAUGUGGCAGACACAGAACUGUGGUCCUCAGGAGCUUUACUGAGUAGAGUAGAAUAAAUUCAAGAACAUAUGGAAAAGAUAUGAAAACAAAUACUUAUUCAUACAUUUGUCAUUCUUUCACUAGAUAUUUGUCGAGCAUCUACUUGUUCUAUAAGUUGCACAUUGUUCUAAGACAUAUUCUGAUAUAAGUGGAUGUGCUUAUGAAAAUACUAGGCAAGAAACAGUAAAGUCCAGGUGGUUUUACUUUGGGAUGUGAUUGUGAUUAUUUAGGAAAGGUUUUACAAACCAGUCAACUCUUAAAUUACAGUAGUUGGAGUUAUGACCAAAAUACAAUACAGUAACAUACUAUGGAGGGCCCAUAAGCCAGUCCAAGGAGUUUGGGCGGUAUACUGUUGGCAAUAGGAAGUCAUUGAAAGGUUUUUAACACCUUAAGUGGCAGAAUUAGAGUUUUCAUUUGGCGCUUAGUAACUUGAUAUAGACAGAACUAAAGAAGGAUAAGCAGAGAGAGAAAGAGAAGUUUUGAAAGACUUUCAGUCUCCCAGAGGAAAAGUGAUGGAGAUCUGGUCUGAGGUGGAGAUAGCAGGUGUGGAGAGCUCAGGAGCCACUGCAGAGGUCAAAUAAAUGAGACGGGGGCCGCUAACCCGCCAUACCUUCUUUGUUUCCACAUCCAAGCCAGAUGACUGCUGCAAACGAAAGCAGCUUGAUGGGUAAAGAUGCACUGAAAUUAAGGCACUCAGAAGGAUAGGAACGCAAAAUGUAUUCUACUUCCACUACAGAAAACUGCUUUGCAGUUUCUCAAGAAGUUAAACAUAGUGUUACCGCGAUAUCCAACAAUUCCACUCCUAGGGAUAUUUACCAAAGAACUGAAAUCAUGUCUACACAAAACCCUAUACAGGAAUAUUUACAGCAGAGUCAGUUGCAAAUAGCCCAGAGAAGAAACAGACGUCCAUCAACAGAUGAAUGACAAAGAAAACGUGGCACAGCCAUGGAAUGAAAUAUUAAUCAUCUUUGAAAAUGAAGCACUACUUCAUGCUACAAUGAGGAUGAACCUUGAAAUAUAUCAAGUAAAAGGAACUAGACACAAAAAGUGACAUAUUAUAUAUUUGCAUUUAUUUUUUGAUUCUCUUUAAAUGUCUACAUUAAGCAAAUAAUUAGAGGCAGAAAAUAGAUUUAUGGUUUCCAGGGGUUUUGAUGGGCAUGGAUAGAAAAUGACUGCUAAUGUUUUCGGAGUUUCUUUGAGGGGAUGAUAAAAAUGUAAAAUCAGAUAGUGGUGCUUGCUGCACAACCCUAUGAAUAUACCAAAAAUCAUUGAAUUGUAUACUUUAAAAGGGUAAAUUUUAUGGCCUAUAAUUUGUAUCAGUCAGUGCUUACUAUAGAAACAGAUUUAAUCCAAGAUAUACAAAUAUAUAAAGAUUUACAAGAUUGGUUUACAAUGGCUGCCCACAAAAUCAAGUAUUACAAAAUCAGGUGUGGAAGAGUGGAAAAAGGUCUGUCUGCAUGAUCCAGAGGAUCCAGUCGAAGGCUCACUGUAGUGUCCUGGGCAAGUCCAUAUCAGGAGGCUGAAGGGUCUGCACUGAAAGGCUGAAGAUGAUAUCCAAGGUGAAGGUGAAGACUAGAGCUCCUUGGAAGAAACAGAAGCAAGGCUUCCGUCUUCAUUUCCCCUUUCUACCAUUCAGGUGACAGGCCAGCCUAAGGUGGGUCUUCGGUCUUCAGUAAAUCUCCAGCCACACUCAGAAUUAUGUUGGUCCAAACUUAGUUGGGCGUUUCCUACUCAAGUUGCCACUAUCGGUUAACUAUCACAUAAUUUACAAGUCAGUGACUUUACUGGAUAAAGAAAAUGUGGGGUUUUUUUAUAAAAUGGAGUACUACUCAGCCAUAAAGAAUGAAAAACUAGAGUCAUUUAUAACUAAAUGGAUGCAUGUGGAGGCCGUACUCUUAAGUGAAAUAAAUAGGACACACAUGUGUAAAUACCGAAUAGUUUCUCUAGUGUGAGAAACUGAUAGUGUAAACAAGGGUUAAAAUGAUUAAAAUGAAUAAUUGAUAAUUUGAAAUAGGAAAACAGGUCCAAAGACAAAGGAGUGAAGGGAGGGGAAGGGGAAAGGAAAAGAGGGAAAGGAAAAUCUAUGAGAAAAGAAAAAAAAAUGGAAAUGAAAUCUAUGUAAAUAGGGAAGGGCGGAGGGGGUGAAGGGUGCACAGGUAAUGGGGGAAAAAAUAAGAACCAAGAUCUAUCAUGUACAGGUACAGACACCCACUGAUAAAUGUAAACGAAUUGUAUACCUAAAGUGUACCAAUAAAAGAACUAAAAAAAAAAGUCAGUGACUUCAAGAUUCCAUAGAGCAUUACCAGGAUAUAGUGAACACAAGGAGGGACAGAUUUAGAGGAAGAAAAAAUGAGUUUGGGUCAUACUAAAAUUAAGACUAAUAUUUGUAAAUAUUUAGAUAGAAAUAUCUAUUAUUGGAAAUAUGUUUGUCUAAAGUUUGGAAGAGGUGGAUUUGAGUAUUGUCUAUAUGGAAGUGAUUGGAAACAUAGGAGUGUAUAAAAUUCUGAGAGUGAAAAGAUACGAUCAAGACAAGAUGAAGUGUUGACACACAUUGUAGAAAGGCAUCAAUGGGGAGAACAUUAUCCCCAAAAGAAAGAAAAACUAUCUGAAAAAAAUGCCUGUAAAAUACAGAGAACUGAUGUAUAUGGCCAGUGUGGCAGAGCACAGAGGUAAAGGCGGAAAGAUGAACCUGGAUGGGUCAUCAGAGGUGAGUUCAUAGAAACUUUGUAGGCAGGGAUCAGGAUGCUUGGUCCUUCUCUUAAGAAUAAUGUGAAGCUAUUUAAUACGUAUAGUCAUAAUUAAAUUUGCAUUUUUAAAUGAUCACUCUAGCUGUAACGUGGAGAAUAAUUUAGAGAGAGGUCUGGCCAAAAAUGGUGAUGAGAGAUACUAAUCUGAUAUAGCAUGGUGACAGUGUAGUUGAAGAGAUUUGAGGAUUUCAGCAACCUUAGUAUGGAUCAAAUAUGGAUGGUGAAGGAGAGGCAAGUGUCACAGAAUAGGUCUCAUUUUCUGCCUUUGGUUGUUGCUUGAAUGGAUAGUGGUCCCCUUGAACGGGAUAGAAAAGAAAUCCAUUGUUGGAGAUGAGUGGAAAGGUGGCAGUCAGAAUCCACAAUUGAGAAGAAAGCUGUGCGUACAAGUCUGCUGCCCAGCAGAGAGCUCUGAGGUGAAGAUGGUAGCUUAGACAUGGUCAGCACGCGGUUAGUAGUUGAGGCCAUGGAGUGAAUGAGAUUGAUUAGGGAGAGAGAACACAGCCAGAAGCAAACAAGACCAGUCUAGAGCUACAAGAUUAAUGACUAUAAUAAGCUUACAGAACACAAGCAUUUAACUGUCAAAUUGAGGAGAGUGAGCCAGUAAAAGAGUGGGAGAAAAGAGUUGAUGAGAGAAGUAGAAAGGACAUCAGGAUAAUCCAGUGUUAUAGAAACCAAGGAAAAGGGUUCAAAGAGAAACAAGUAAAUAGCUUUGGGUGAUGUUAAAUGACGAACAACAAUAAAGACUAAAAAUGUUGGUUGUAAAAAAUUAAUAUAAUCCUAUGGCAACAAUUUACCAUAAUAGAUUAAAUUACAAAACUGAAAUCUGAACUCAACUUUUUAAUAAGAAUGUGUGACUGAUAGUGUUUCUUGUUGUACAUGCUUUGCAAAUGCUGAAAGGAGUCCCUGUUAAUGACUGGGGAACUGAAACUUGGUAGCAUUCCAAGAAGCUUUCGUAAGAAGCCAUGACUCAGCCAUCUGGAGAGUGCUCCAGAGAUUUCCAAACCCGUAGCCUCCUGACUUCCCCCUUCCUACAAUCUCCACCCAAAAAAGACCAGGAAGGUAGAAAUGAACUUGGAAUUUCUAUAAUUUCUGAUAGUUUCUAAAAACAAAGAAGGUAGACACCCAUAUUCAACUCAUCAAGUCUUUUGAUAGCACAAAAACACAUUAUUUCAUAAGUCCAUCUUCCCACUUUCAUAUAACCCAUUCCCACUUCAGCAACCUAAAAGUUCAUGCUCUGAUUCUUCUUUCUGAAAAUAAGUUGGGGUUUAUCAAUUAUAAGUGUAACAACACUAGCAAUGUAAAUUACAGCAGUGUCCAACCCUUUUUGCAAAAUUGUCAUAGCCCAGUAAUGACUCCAGUCUUGAUGGUUAUCAGUGAGGUAGGAUGGUGAUUUUCUGUUAUUUAGGGUAAUUCAAUCCAAGCAGAACAUAAACAUUAGGAAAAUUUAUACUUUUGGCUAGAUCUAUUUUACAUGCAUUUGAAAGCUAGCUGUAUUUAAUCACUUUUUAUUACAUAAACUAAUGAUGUGGAUAAUGUUAUUGACUUUUUAUUCAUCUCUUAAUGGGUAGUUUCAGAGCUAACCCACAUAAAUGUCCUCCUACAGUGCUGCUAAAUGAUAUGAUUAAAGUCAUAUAGGAAAAUGACAAAUCAUUCAUCAAGAACCACAACCCGAAGUUACAGGGGUGAUAAAAUGGAGCUGAAAGGUAUGUAUAAGACCUCUCACAAUUGUUCAAGAAAUAGUAAAGUAUCUCUCUGUUUGAUUGUACACUGUGAGUAAAAGCUAGGCUGCCCUACUAAACUUCUUUUUACCAAGCUAAUCAGCCAAGUUUGACGUUCAGGGUGUGUGUACUUCCCAACUAAUGGGCCAUUAGUGAGCCCUUACUUUUUCAGAAGCUAAGCCUUGGUAGUAAUGGUUUUGGACUGUACAGUACGUCUAUUCUUUCUUUUUCUCGUCUUCCUUUCUUUGCUGCCUAUUUUUGAAAUAUGCCAUCCCUUGUUAAUAUUUCCACUUGGUAAGAAAGCAGAGAAAGGAGCUGAAACUUAAUUCUGUUCACUUUACUUUUUGCUAGCAGCAAUGGUAGAAGAUUUCUUACAGGAAGAGGUUGAAGGUAUUGGCUGAAAUGCAGCUCAGGGAAUAUAGCGGAUUUCAAUAACUUGUGCUCUCGCUCUGUUCUUCAGCCAAAUAAUCCAGUCCCGGUCAUGCAGUUAACUACUCAAAUCCAGUCAUCUCGAGUGUGGUGUGUUCACACACCCUGCUUUCUCUUCUCCGCUGCUCUAUCUACCCGACUUGGUCAGCAGUCUCAUGCAUUACUAACUCUGUCUGGAGACAGCAGCCCAGGUGAAGUAUGCCUUCUAGAAAAGUGAGAAAUUACAGUGCCAAAGACACAGCCCUCUGAGGUGACUUAGAAUCAACUGGGCCGAGAUUCUGCACUUCUAGCAAGCUGCCUUGUGAUCCUAUCAUAUUGCUGCUGGUCCAUGGAUCCAAGCAGAGGAAGCUUAAGAAGACUGUUGUGGACAACAGUAGAUAAGAACUCAUCUUACUUUUCAAAUAAGGCCCUUUUUCUCACAGGUUCUGCGGAAGAAGAAACAAUCAGAGAGAUAACUCUGUGAGUUUUCACAAUAAAUGCAAUCAGCAGCACAAUAAAUUAUACAUUUUCAUCAUCCCUAGUAUACCUCCAUGUCCUUUGUGGCCAACCAGUGAGACCCCUUGAUCUGUUUUCUGCAGAAUGUCAUAUAAAAGAAAUCACAGCAUUUCAAUGCAGUCUUUUGAUAAUGGUUUCUUUCAUUAACUACAGCAUUAAAGCUUUAUUCUUGGUUUAUGUAUUAUUAUCACUUCCUUUUUUCACUGAGUUGUAUUUGCUUAUAUUGAUAUAUCACAUCUUGCUUAUCUAUUCCAUAAUUGAGAGAUUUUUUUUAUUUUGGUUAAUCUAAAAAUGGUAAAAAUGCAUGUAUAAAUUUUUGUGUGAAUGUAGGCUGUAUUUCACUUGACUAACAAGUGAAAUAAAAAUAACAAACAAUGAGAUUGCUGGGUUGUACGUCAAAUGUAUGUUUAUAAGAAACUAUCAAAGUGUUUUCCAUAGUUCUUUUCUUACAGUCUCACCAGAGUUCCAGGUUUAUUUUUGUAGUUUACUCACUCUCUCAAUGUCAUAAAUUAAUUUGCCUAUUCUUGAACAUCAAAUAAUGGAAUUAUUUAUGUGGCUUCUUUUGCUUAAUAUAAAGUUUGUAGAAUUCAUUCAUGUUAUUCCAUGUAAUAAGAGUUUAUUCUUUUUUGCUGAUGAAUAGUAUUCUGUAAUAUGAAUACAAACCUGUUUUGUUUAUUCAUUCAUUUGUUGUUGGACAUUUGGGUUGUAAGAAACAGCAGGGAAGUCACAAUAGUUUUGUGGUGUGUGUGUGUGUGUGUGUGUGUGUUGGUUAAUCAGCAGUUUCCACAAUAAAGAUAGGC
ensembl:lncRNA